GACGAACGCUGGCGGCGUGCCUAACACAUGCAAGUCGAACGGAGAAUUUUAUUUCGGUAGAAUUCUUAGUGGCGAACGGGUGAGUAACGCGUAGGCAACCUACCCUUUAGACGGGGACAACAUUCCGAAAGGAGUGCUAAUACCGGAUGUGAUCAUCUUGCCGCAUGGCAGGAUGAAGAAAGAUGGCCUCUACAAGUAAGCUAUCGCUAAAGGAUGGGCCUGCGUCUGAUUAGCUAGUUGGUAGUGUAACGGACUACCAAGGCGAUGAUCAGUAGCCGGUCUGAGAGGAUGAACGGCCACAUUGGGACUGAGACACGGCCCAAACUCCUACGGGAGGCAGCAGUGGGGAAUCUUCCGCAAUGGACGAAAGUCUGACGGAGCAACGCCGCGUGAGUGAUGAAGGAUUUCGGUCUGUAAAGCUCUGUUGUUUAUGACGAACGUGCAGUGUAUGAACAAUGCAUUGCAAUGACGGUAGUAAACGAGGAAGCCACGGCUAACUACGUGCCAGCAGCCGCGGUAAUACGUAGGUGGCGAGCGUUGUCCGGAAUUAUUGGGCGUAAAGAGCAUGUAGGCGGCUUAAUAAGUCGAGCGUGAAAAUGCGGGGCUCAACCCCGUAUGGCGCUGGAAACUGUUAGGCUUGAGUGCAGGAGAGGAAAGGGGAAUUCCCAGUGUAGCGGUGAAAUGCGUAGAUAUUGGGAGGAACACCAGUGGCGAAGGCGCCUUUCUGGACUGUGUCUGACGCUGAGAUGCGAAAGCCAGGGUAGCGAACGGGAUUAGAUACCCCGGUAGUCCUGGCCGUAAACGAUGGGUACUAGGUGUAGGAGGUAUCGACCCCUUCUGUGCCGGAUUUAACGCAAUAAGUACCCCCCGUGUGGAGUGCGGCCGCAAGGUUGAAACUCAAAGGAAUUGACGGGGGUCCGC
rnacentral:rRNA from 1 species